AUUGAACGCUGGCGGCAUGCCUUACACAUGCAAGUCGAACGGCAGCACGGGAGCAAUCCUGGUGGCGAGUGGCGAACGGGUGAGUAAUACAUCGGAACGUGCCCAGUUGUGGGGGAUAGCCCGGCGAAAGCCGGAUUAAUACCGCAUACGACCUACGGGUGAAAGCGGGGGAUCGCAAGACCUCGCGCUAUUGGAGCGGCCGAUGUCGGAUUAGCUAGUUGGUGGGGUAAAAGCCUACCAAGGCUACGAUCCGUAGGUGGUCUGAGAGGACGACCAGCCACACUGGGACUGAGACACGGCCCAGACUCCUGCGGGAGGCAGCAGUGGGGAAUUUUGGACAAUGGGCGCAAGCCUGAUCCAGCCAUGCCGCGUGCGGGAAGAAGGCCUUCGGGUUGUAAACCGCUUUUGUCAGGGAAGAAACGGUUUGGGCUAAUACCCCGAACUAAUGACGGUACCUGAAGAAUAAGCACCGGCUAACUACGUGCCAGCCGCCGCGGUAACAC
rnacentral:rRNA from 1 species